rnacentral:lncRNA from 1 species
UACAGGAAUUGCUGCUGAUGUAUGGGACGAGGCCUCAAAAGGAGGCUUGAUGGAGUUUACUGAUCUGAUCAAAAUUUGGAUGGUUUUUAGCCUUCAGCUUUAUGUGAUACUCCCAAGGGAGGUGGGAAUCUAAUGGUAUUUUCUCAAUUCUUUUGUUCUACACUUUUUUUUUUUUUGGUAAAUUGGGAUACUUAAAUUACUUGAGAAAAGAAUACAUCUAUG